UACGAAGGGGGCUAGCGUUGUUCGGAAUUACUGGGCGUAAAGCGCACGUAGGCGGCUUUGUAAGUUUAGAGGUGAAAGCCCGGGGCUCAACCCCGGAAUUGCCUUUAAGACUGCAUCGCUUGAAUCCGGGAGAGGUGAGUGGAAUUCCGAGUGUAGAGGUGAAAUUCGUUAGAUAUUCGGAAGAACACCAGUGGCGAAGGCGCUCACUGGACCGGCAUUGA
rnacentral:rRNA from 1 species